rnacentral:lncRNA from 1 species
GGGCCAUUAUUUACUUAUUAUAUUCAGCCGUUAAAUGUCAACUUUUUAGGACAAAUGUAUAGCUGACUCUCUCUGCUUCUCAUGAAGACUCGUUUUGUUGGCCAAAUCCUAUUAAAGCCUCGCUGACCCCAAGAAGUUGAAUCUGAACCCCGCAAAUCUCAAUACUUUUUAUCUCUUGGGUGCUCAUUUUGGUUGAGCAAAGGAGCCUCCCUCAAUUCUAAGACUCCUCCCCACUUCCUCCUUUUCUCCUAGUAACUCUUGCCACUGGCCAAAGAUUUAUUAGAGCCUAGUUUUGUCCCUAUGCCUCUUG